GUAGGUAAGAGGGUACUUGGAGAAUUUCCUGUUGAUGAUCCAUCAAGAAAGAAACUAAUCGUGCAGCAAGAAGCUCAUCAAGAUCUACUUCUUCAGCACAGCGUAACACACACCGAGAAAAAAAAUUUCCACAUUCUUCAAAAGCAUGAACAGAUUGAUGGAAGACACUGGAGACCUCUUUACUUGAACUCCCUGCAGACUGAGAAGAAGACACUCAGUUGAUUUGAAGGAAUUCAGACUGUUUAAGUGAAGGAUUUUUGAAGACUGUGGAUCAUCUUGGAUUUUAUGUAUCCCACUGGGUCUAUCUGAAACUGUGACGUAGCCACAAACAACUACCAGGAAAUGAAACAAAAAUUAAGAUGCAACUGUAUGACAGUGGACAAAAAUAAAACAAAAACAAGAGUAACGUUAAAAAAAACAAAGCAUCACUAUAGUACAUAUUGUUAGUAUAGUACAAAUAGCAGUUGCUUAAUUCAGAAGCCACUUAAAUAGGACACAUGCAACAUUCAGUUACAAAGUGCAAGACUCGAGGUUUUCCAACUUGUGAUGAAAAUAACUUUAAAAUUUAUUUCAACAAUCUAAUUAAAUGGAUUCAGUCAAAUACAUGAAAAAAUAUCUACUUUCAGUCUACAAGUAUUAGAAAAUUCUUAAUUAUAAGACAACAGUAGUUUAAUAAAACAUAUAUAUAGUUUUUGUUUCUGGUACCUGGUAUAGAACUCCUAAAACCCAUGGAAUCUCCAGAGUGACAGGAGUCUUUUGUUAUUCACAAUGAGCCUAUUAGAGCUAGCCUCAGUUUAUGCUAAUGAGGUGACUUAGGCUUAGCCCUUCUUGGAAGGUUGGAACUUUUAGCCUUACCUCAGACCUCCCUGGAGGGGGUGGUGGGGUAGUGGUGGUUGGUGGAGGUCAGACUUAGUCAACAAUGAGCAAUGAUUUAAUCAACCAUGCCUAUGUAAUGAAACCUCAAUUAAAACUCUGAAACAACACAGCUACGGGAGCUUACCAGUUGGUGAAUACAUGGACACGCUUGGGGGGAUGACAUUCCUGGAGAGAACAUAGAAGCUCUGCACAACCCUUACCCCCAUUCCUUGCCCUAUAUAUCUCUUCCAUUUGGCUGUUCCUGACUUGUAUCCUUUAUAAUAAACUGGUAAU